rnacentral:tRNA from 1 species
GAGGGUAUAGCUCAGUGGUAGAAUGCAUACUUAGCAUGCGUGAGGUCCUGGGUUCAAUCCCCAGUAUCUCCA